GACGAACGCUGGCGGCGUGGAUUAGGCAUGCAAGUCGAACGGUAUCAUCCUUUCGGGGGUGAGAGAGUGGCGAACUGGUGAGUAACACGUAGGUUAUCUACCCUCAAGACGGGGACAACCCAGGGAAACUUGGGCUAAUACCGGAUGUGAGCAACUUUUUAGUUGUUUGAAAGGUGGCGUAAGCUGUCGCUUGGGGAUGAGCCUGCGUCCUAUUAGUUAGUUGGUGAGGUAACGGCUCACCUAGGCAAUGAUAGGUAGGCGGCCUUAACGGGUGGUCGCCCACACUGGGAUUGAGAUACGGCCCAGACUCCUACGGGAGGCAGCAGUCGAGAAUAGUCUACAAUGGUCGGAAGACUGAUAGUGCGACGCCGCGUGAACGAUGAAUCCCUUCGGGGUGUAAAGUUCUUUUAUAUGUGAGCAGUGCUUCUUAUAUUAACAGUAUGGGGAGAGAGAUAUUAGCAUAUGAAUAAGCAACGGCUAACUCCGUGCCAGCAGCCGCGGUAAUA
rnacentral:rRNA from 1 species